UUCAUGGAGAGUUUGAUCCUGGCUCAGGACGAACGCUGGCGGCGCGCCUAAUACAUGCAAGUCGAGCGGGGAGGCAAGCGGAAGCCUUCGGGCGGAAGCUUGCAUCCU
rfam:Bacillus thermozeamaize isolate ZCTH02-B2 BIN02_NODE337748265, whole genome shotgun sequence.